rnacentral:rRNA from 1 species
CGGGUGAGUAACGCGUGAGGAACCUGCCUCAAAGAGGGGGACAACAGUUGGAAACGACUGCUAAUACCGCAUAAGCCCACGGCUCGGCAUCGAGCAGAGGGAAAAGGAGUGAUCCGCUUUGAGAUGGCCUCGCGUCCGAUUAGCUAGUUGGUGAGGUAACGGCCCACCAAGGCGACGAUCGGCAGCCGGACUGAGAGGUUGAACGGCCACAUUGGGACUGAGACACGGCCCAG